AUUGAACGCUGGCGGCAGGCCUAACACAUGCAAGUCGAACGGUAACAGGAAGAAGCUUGCUUCUUUGCUGACGAGUGGCGGACGGGUGAGUAAUGUCUGGGAAACUGCCUGAUGGAGGGGGAUAACUACUGGAAACGGUAGCUAAUACCGCAUAACGUCGCAAGACCAAAGAGGGGGACCUUCGGGCCUCUUGCCAUCGGAUGUGCCCAGAUGGAUUAGCUAGUAGGUGGGGUAACGGCUCACCUAGGCGACGAUCCCUAGCUGGUCUGAGAGGAUGACCAGCCACACUGGAACUGAGACACGGUCCAGACUCCUACGGGAGGCGGCAGUGGGGAAUAUUGCACAAUGGGCGCAAGCCUGAUGCAGCCAUGCCGCGUGUAUGAAGAAGGCCUUCGGGUUGUAAAGUACUUUCAGCGGGGAGGAAGGGAGUAAAGUUAAUACCUUUGCUCAUUGACGUUACCCGCAGAAGAAGCACCGGCUAACUCCGUG
rnacentral:rRNA from 1 species